rnacentral:snoRNA from 12 species
UAGCACUUGAUACUAACCAAGCUAUCUAUAUCUUAGUCUCACGUCAAAGGUUCGUGAAGUAUUGUGAGAGCUGGGUUUAAGAAGUGCAAUAUUAAAACAAAAGCCAUGAGCCUUUUAAGCCCAGUGUGUAAAGAUACACUCUGAGUUAUAACUCAAAGGCACAACU